rnacentral:lncRNA from 1 species
CUUAAUUCAGUUAACUAGAGUUCUGAAGCUUGAAGCUCUCUCUCUGUAUUUUAGAACAGCCCUCAUACUUGCUGUAAAUUUUGCAUCAUCAAGUGUAGUCAGGCUGCUUCUUGAGCAAGGCGUUGAUAUCUCUCCUCAAGAUCGCUAUGGACGGAAUGCAGAAGACUAUGCUGUUAUCAAGGGUCAUCAAAUAAUGCACAACCUGAUUUUGAAAUAUAAAGGAGAAAAGGGACUUAAAACACCUUCUCGAGACACUAUACUAGAUCGCACAGCAGAGGGACCUCCAAGGCAGACAUCAGGAGAAACGGAGUCAAAGCAAGGUAUUCGGUGAAAGGACCUGACUGUAAUUCGGUAUAACACAUUCAUCCAAAUCAUACCAAUUUCAUGUAAAUAAUGGAAUUGUUUCAGCGGUUCUCCAAACCGCACCAGGGUCAGUCAUUCACUACAACUCCCAGGUUUCAGACAUAGCGAAAGGAAGGAGGGAGGAAAGAAACACAUGAAGUGGGUGAUUGUGGAAGUAACGAG